CAGUGACUUCAGUUGCUUCCUCAAGUCUACCGGAGCAUCUAGCAGGUGUGGGUGCAAUGCUGUCACCAUCUUCCAACCCCUCUUUAGAAAGCCUUAGUUACCUCACCUUCCACAUGUUCCCCUUUUGAUCAAGAUCUUUAUCCAGAAGGCAUCUCAGAUUAACCGGGAGCCAGCAGGGCAAACACCUCUUCGUCCUGAAGCUGAGUGGCUUGGACAGGCACAACGUGGCACCAGGAGCCCGAGGGGAGCCAUCAGGGCUGCAAGAACCAGCAUGACCACAGCCUUCCAGUCCAGAGGCCUGGGGUGGAAGGAGGGAUUUGACCAAGCCGUAGGAGUCAGGAAAUGGUUGUGUUGCCAGUGAUAGAUUCACUGGAGAUGUCCCAGCUUUGACUGUGUGGAGGCACGCAGGCUUCAGGACAGGAGCACGGAAGGAGGUGGGCGCUGCACCACCUGCAGGGGCCAGUGGUGAGGAAUGAGGAUGGGCAGAAGAUUCAGGGACUUGACCUUGGGUUCAAGGACAUCUGGGCUGUGAGGAAGGACAGAUGCUCUGGCUGGAGGCCUCGUCACCUGGGACACCAGGCCUGGAAUGCAGCUCUCCAUCCAGCCCCCGCUCGCUGCUGACGCCUCCUGCUGGGAACAAAUAACUCCCAGGGGAGGAAAUAAAGAGGGCACACAGAGCUGUGAGCGCUGUCCCGGUGCACCACGGAUCCAAGUGAUGAGGGUGAAAGGAGAGGCUUCGUUUUCCUUUGGCAAUCAAAUUUUAAAAGAUUAAUAAUCCAGGUUGUUACUAGUGAGUGGGAGAGCAGCGACACACACAUUGCCUUACGCUGAUGGUAAAAGUAAACGUGGAAUAAAAUGAUACUUACAGGAAGCAAUAGCUGUCAAGGAACUUUGGGGAACUUUUCCUAAUUAAAUAAUCUAAAACAAGAAGAAAACUGUAUUCACCAGGAUGUUCGCGACACUGCUGUUUAUGGUAUUAAAAAUAAAAACAGUACCAUGUCCACAGUUAGCGAAAUGGUUCAUGAUAACACUACUCUGCAAUGUAAAGGGGAGUUCACACACCGAGAACGAGGAAAUGACAAUGAAUUGACAUGAGAAUGACUGAACCAGCAGUGACCUGCGCAGUGUGGCUCCUGGGAGAGGCCUGGGCCAGUGUGUAAUCUCACAGCCAGAGUCCAAGCCACAGGGGAGACUCCCAGAGCCUCCCUAAGCUCUACCUUCCCGCUCUGUAAAGCAAAGAUAGAAAUGCGGGUCUCAGGCCAGGCGCAGUGGCUCACACCUGUAAUCCCAGCACUUUGGGAGGCCGAGGAGGGCGGAUCACUUGAGGUCAGGAGUUCAUGACCAGCCUGGCCAACAUGGUGAGACUUUGUCUCUACUAAAAAUGCAAAAAUUAUCUGGGCGUGGUGGCGCGUGC
rnacentral:lncRNA from 10 species